CUUUAGGUAUCCCUCAUUCAAAGUAUUUUUGUAAAAAACCUUUUCUUCUCUUUUUUUUUCGUGUAUCUCCAUUUUUCACCCAAACUUUUCGUUAUGCUAUUCUCUCCAAUCGGCGACCGGUGAUAGAGGUUUAAUGUUUUGCUCCUUACGGUCGUUCAUCUACAGCCGACACCCCAAAAGGUAAAGGCAUCACUGGCAAAGGCAAACUUCUUCCGAUGAUCUGUGACAGGUUUAGUGCUUUUCUCCCUGCAAUGGUUCAUCUGCAAUUGAAACCCCAAAAGGCAAUGUGUUACAGAGUGCCAAAUAGGAACUUUGGCUUUGGUUGACAGCCAUAUGCCAAGCAUGUUACCAACUUCCUUUGGGAAAGUUAAAGCCAAUCAAGUAUUGUGAACAGCGAUCUGAAUUUUGGGUGCUAUAAUAGUAUAAUGACAGAGGACGAGCUCCAAUGCCAUCAUAUUCAUUGUUACUUGAUCGUUUCGAUAUUGAUGCAAAUUUUUAUACCCCUGAUCAUGAAAGUAACUGACAGAUGCAAUAAGAUCAUAAAUUCUAAGAGGUGGAUGUCCAGGCAGCAACAUACUGAAAAUCUAUCUCUGAGAUAGUCUGAUCUGGUCGUGUGUGCAGAUAUCAAUGAGCUACACGAUAAAGCGAAGCGAAAGCAAGUUGAUGGAUGGGGUGAGCAAGUGCAGAGAGGAUAUGAGUUCAUAUAACAAGAAUGCACUAUGAUGGACUAAAAUUCCAGAACUUGUCUGAAUAUUAUCUAACUAAUGAGUAAUAAAUAGGGUAGUGAACUCAUGAAUCAUGACUUAAUGAGAGAUCAGAUAAUUGAAUCA